CAAGAACUACACUUCCCAGCGCUCCUAUGCAACGGAAGUGACGUGAGCAGGAGACAAUUGGAGGAUUCGAGUAAAAAUGGCUUUAUAUUUAGCUUCGAUAUUCGGGACUGAGAAAGACAAGUGAGAACGGGCGCAGGAAGUGUCAUCUCGCAGGGGUUGACUCCCUUCUUACUUUAAUAUCAGAGCCUGCCGGCGCGGGGACCAAUACCUCGACUUCACAGCAAACCGACUUUCAGCCAGGAGGUGUUCACGGAACUGCAUGAGAAGUACAGGAGAUUGAAGAAAUGAAUAUGUAUGAAAACCUGGGCGACCACCUCAUGGACAAUGUCUAUGUCAGGGUCCUUUGCUGUCCCUCCCUUAGAGCCCAGAGGUGAAAGCUUUCAAUGCCUCAUGACCACCUCUGAAACCUCACAGCUUGAAAGGCUCAUCACUAAAUUCAGCCCAGCCCCAGAGCUGGUAACUAGUCCCCUGAAGAUCUCCAGUUUCUGCUGCUGACCCUGAUGGACUUUUCUCUCAGUUCUGACAGGCAGUAGCUGACCUCAAUACUGCUGGUUAAAUGGGCAGGCUAUGUGUGCUGAGUUGUCUCCUGUCAACUGACUUCUGGGAGUCAUGCUUUCAGCAGUAAGAGAUGGGGUAUGGUGGUGUAAGGAUGGAUUGGAUGCAUUGAGCCCCAGAUUCUUGAGUAUGUGUUGAGGGCUCAUAGUGAUAAUUACCUCCUCCAUCUGUCUGCCCUCUGCCUAGGGAAUGUACCUAUGAUGGCUUCUGCAACUUCAUGCUCCUAGGACCAUUUCCUAGAACCUCCAUUGGCAGCUCUGUGGGUGGGGAUCCAGGUCACUGUGGAGGUCCCUUACUGCCUGUCAUCCUGAGAAAGGUACCAGCAUGUUCCCCAGAGCACCAGCAUGGUUGCUUCUGAGACUCUUGGUCCCUUCCCCUUUAUCUCUGAAAAAGAAAGAUGUUCUGGCCAGGACCCUUCUUCAAAGCCCCCUUGAAUGUAGUCUGUUCGGCAGAGACCUCCUACUAACCUUCACCUAAUAAAGUUCUAUAUCAAGCAUUUA